rnacentral:rRNA from 1 species
GAUGAACGCUGGCGGCGUGCCUAAUACAUGCAAGUCGAGCGAACAGACGAGGAGCUUGCUCCUCUGACGUUAGCGGCGGACGGGUGAGUAACACGUGGAUAACCUACCUAUAAGACUGGGAUAACUUCGGGAAACCGGAGCUAAUACCGGAUAAUAUAUUGAACCGCAUGGUUCAAUAGUGAAAGACGGUUUUGCUGUCACUUAUAGAUGGAUCCGCGCCGCAUUAGCUAGUUGGUAAGGUAACGGCUUACCAAGGCAACGAUGCGUAGCCGACCUGAGAGGGUGAUCGGCCACACUGGAACUGAGACACGGUCCAGACUCCUACGGGAGGCAGCAGUAGGGAAUCUUCCGCAAUGGGCGAAAGCUUGACGGAGCAACGCCGCGUGAGUGAUGAAGGUCUUCGGAUCGUAAAACUCUGUUAUUAGGGAAGAAGAAAUGUGUAAGUAACUAUGCACGUCUUGACGGUACCUAAUCAGAAAGCCACGGCUAACUACGUG